UGGCUCAAGAACGAACGCUGGCGGCAGGCUUAACACAUGCAAGUCGAACGCCCCGCAAGGGGAGUGGCAGACGGGUGAGUAACGCGUGGGAAUCUACCUAGUUCUACGGAACAACAGUUGGAAACGACUGCUAAUACCGUAUACGCCCUAUGGGGGAAGGAUUUAUCGGAAUUAGAUGAGCCCGCGUAAGAUUAGCUAGUUGGUGGGGUAAUGGCCUACCAAGGCGACGAUCUUUAGCUGGUCUGAGAGGAUGAUCAGCCACACUGGGACUGAGACACGGCCCAGACUCCUACGGGAGGCAGCAGUGGGGAAUAUUGGACAAUGGGCGCAAGCCUGAUCCAGCCCAUGCCGCGUGAGUGAUGAAGGCCUUAGGGUUGUAAAGCUCUUUCAGUGGGGAAGAUAAUGACGGUACCCACAGAAGAAGCCCCGGCUAACUUCGUGCCAGCAGCAGC
rnacentral:rRNA from 1 species